rnacentral:rRNA from 1 species
GAUGAACGCUGGCGGCGUGGAUUAGGCAUGCAAGUCGAGCGAGAACCGUAGCAAUACGGGGACAGCGGCGAAAGGGACAGUAAUGUGUAGGUACCUACCCCGGGGUCUGGGAUAGCUGCGGGAAACUGCAGGUAAUACCGGAUAAUGUCUUCGGACCAAAGGUGUGAUUCCACCUUGGGAGGGGCCUGCAUCCUAUUAGCUUGUUGGCGGGGUAACGGCCCGCCAAGGCAACGAUGGGUAGCGGGUGUGAGAGCACGACCCGCGUCAUUGGGACUGAGAUACUGCCCAGACACCUACGGGUGGCUGCAGUCGAGGAUCUUCGGCAAUGGGCGAAAGCCUGACCGAGCGACGCCGCGUGCGGGAUGAAGGCCUUCGGGUUGUAAACCGCUGUCGUAGGGGAGGAAAUGCAGGAGGGUUCUCCCUCCUGUUUGACCUAUCCUAGGAGGAAGUACGGGCUAAGUUCGUGCCAGCCGCCGCCGUAA